AAACAUGUCUUUUUGAAAAUAAUUUAAAGUCUAAUCUGCCCACUGAUNAAAUUAUUAAAGGGCUGCAGUAUUUUGACUGUACAAAGGUAGCAUAAUCAUUAGUCUCUUAAUUGGUGACUUGUAUGAAAGAUUGGAUGAGAUAUAAACUGUCUCUAAUUAAUUUGUAAAAUUUAAUUUUUUAGUAAAAAAGCUAAAAUAAUUUUAAAAGACGAGAAGACCCUAUAGAGUUUAAUAAUUUAUUUAAUUAUUAUUAAUAUAUAAAUUUUAAAAUUAAAAUUAAAUAAAUUAUUUUGUUGGGGUGAUAGAAAAAUUAAAUUAACUUUUUUUUUAUUUUAAACAUUAAUUUAUGAAUAUAGGAUCCAUUAUUAUUGAUUAUAAGAAAAAAUUACCUUAGGGAUAACAGCGUAAUUUUUUUUUUUAGUUCAAAUAGGAAAAAAAGUUUGCGACCUCGAUGUUGGAUUAAGAUAAAAUUUAGAUGCAAAAGUUUAAA
rnacentral:rRNA from 1 species